UACGGGGGGGGUAAGCGUUGUUCGGAAUUACUGGGCGUAAAGGGCUCGUAGGCGGCCAACUAAGUCGGACGUGAAAUCCCUCAGCUUAACUGGGGAACUGCGUCUGAUACUGGAUGGCUUGGAUUUGGGAGAGGGAUGCGGAAUUCCAGGUGUAGCGGUGAAAUGCGUAGAUAUUGGGAGGAACACCAGUGGCGAAGGCGGCUGACUGGACCGGUACUGACGCUGAGGCGCGAAAGCGUGGGGAGCAAACGGG
rnacentral:rRNA from 1 species